CGGCCGCAGCCGCUCGGCCGCCGUCUGCACCGCGUACCUCAUGCGGCACCGCGGCCUCAGCCUGGCGAAGGCCUUCCAGAUGGUGAAGAGCGCUCGCCCGGUAGCAGAACCGAACCCGGGCUUCUGGUCUCAGCUCCAGAAGUAUGAGGAGGCCCUCCAGGCCCAGUCCUGCCUGCAGGGAGAGCCCCCAGCCUUAGGGUUGGGCCCUGAGGCUUGAAGCUUGAAGGCCUGCUGCCUGGAGGAAGGAUGUCCCUGCACUGAUACAGAAGGCUGGUCUUUACCCUUCUUCCUCACUGUCAUAUCGAGUUUUCCUUUGUGUGUGUGUGUGUGAAACAUAGUGCUUUUAAUUUUAUAUUUCCGGCUGAGGUGAUGCACAAAUUAUCUUACAGACACAAAAAGAAAUACAUUUGGUAAAACAUCGAAGACAAAUUAAGAAAAAGCAAAUAGGGAUCCUCCAUUAUUUACACUCCAGAAUCUUGAGUGUUUGGGGGUGCCGGCGCAUUCUACCAGUCUCAGGGAAGGACAUGAGUACAGACUACAGUAAUCAGAAUCUGAGUCAUAGGUGAAAUCAGGAAAAGCAACUCUUCUUGUGUUUAUUUUUAGUAGUGUCAUAAGAACGGACUAGUUCUUCCUGCGUGACCACGGAUGCUUCUGUUUGAGAAAAUGCAUACCCACGUGGGACAUUUAGAUCAAGAAAGCUGUUGAUGAAGACAUUGUUGAAGGGCAACUUGGGUGAUUGGGGAAUUAUUCUCUUCAUCAGCCCCUCUGCAAUACAGCUGGAGCUGUCCCAUAGGAGUUCGGACAAUUACGGACAUCCUUUUUCUUUCUCUCUUUCUUUUUUUUUGUUUGUUUGUUUGAGACAGAGUCUCUGUUGCCCAGGCUGGAGUGCAGUGGCGCAAUCCCGGCUCACUGCAACCUCCGCCUCCCUGGUUCAAGUGAUUCUCCUGCCUCAGCCUCCUGAGUAGCUGGGACUACAGGUGUGUGACACCAGACCCGGCUAAUUUUUUGUAUUUUUAGUAGAGAUGGGGGGUUUCACCAUGUUAGCCAGGAUGGUCUCAAACUCCUGACCUCGUGAUCCACCCACCUCAGCCUCCCAAAGUGCUGGGAUUACAGGCGUGAGCCACCGUGCCCAGCCUCCUUUUUCUAUUACUAGAGAACUCCAGGACAUUAAGAAUUUCAAAAGUGAUUUUUUCACCCAUGGCUUCUACGGUGACAGAGUAUGGUGUUCCUGUAGGGAAACAAAGCCAAGUUUUUUUGCUCCUUUCACUAAAGCUGCUUCAUCCGGGGAGGAAGCCUGGUAGAUUAUAAUAUUUCCAGGGAUAACAGUGUGGCACACAGAUAACAGGAUGUUGCUAUAUGAACACAUCGGGACUGUGUCUGCAGGAAGGAGCUCCCCAUUCGAGGCCUUCACAGUGUCACCCACAUUCACCUCUUUCCACUUAAACGUGUCCCAUGAAUCUUGUCAUAACAGUUUUGUGUUCCUUAACUAUUUUGUCUGCCAUGUCAUUUAUGAUGUAUAUAACCUCUUUAAUGCCUGAAAUCAUAAGAAUAAUCAUCAAAGGCAAGAGGGUUGUAUAUUUUCCCGUUGGAGACACAUCUGGAAUUUGCUGCAAUAAAAUAAUAAUAAGAAAGCA
rnacentral:lncRNA from 10 species